UUCGCAAUGCCCGAAAGGGUGACGAAGCGACGCCGCGUGCGGGAAGAAGGCCUUCGGGUUGUAAACCGCUGUCGGGAGUUAAGAAAUGCAAGGGUGUUAACAGCAUCCUUGCUUGACUAAGGCUCCGGAGGAAGCCACGGCUAACUCUGUGCCAGCAGCCGCGGUAAUACAGAGGUGGCAAGCGUUGUUCGGAAUUAUUGGGCGUAAAGAGCACGUAGGCGGCUGUGUAAGUCGGUUGUGAAAGCCUUCCGCUCAACGGGAGAACGGCAUCCGAUACUGCAUGGCUUGAGUGCGGGAGGGGAGAGUGGAACUUCUGGUGGAGCGGUGAAAUGCGUAGAUAUCAGAAGGAACACCGGCGGCGAAGGCGACUCUCUGGCCCGUAACUGACGCUGAGUGUGCGAAAGCUAGGGGAGCAAACGGGAUUAGAUACCCCGGUAGUCCUAGCCGUAAACGAUGGGCACUAAGUAGAGGGGUUUU
rnacentral:rRNA from 1 species